rnacentral:rRNA from 1 species
GGUGAAAUGCGUAGAUAUUGGGAAGAACACCAGUGGCGAAGGCGCUCUACUGGGCCGUAACUGACGCUGAGGGACGAAAGCUAGGGGAGCGAAAGGGAUUAGAUACCCCUGUAGUCCUAGCUGUAAACGAUGGAUACUAGGUGUUGGAUGUAUCGACCCAUUCAGUACCGUAGCCAACGCGAUAAGUAUCCCGCCUGGGGAGUACGCACGCAAGUGUGAAACUCAAAGGAAUUGACGGGGGCCCGCACAAGCGGUGGAGUAUGUGGUUUAAUUCGAUGCAACGCGAAGAACCUUACCAGGGCUUGACAUCCCGCGAACCUUGAUGAAAGUUGAGGGUGCCUUCGGGAGCGCGGAGACAGGUGGUGCAUGGCUGUCGUCAGCUCGUGUCGUGAGAUGUUGGGUUAAGUCCCGCAACGAGCGCAACCCACGUCCUUAGUUGCCAUCAUUAAGUUGGGCACUCUGGGGAGACUGCCGGGGACAACUCGGAGGAAGGUGUGGAUGACGUCAAGUCAUCAUGCCCCUUACGUUCUGGGCUACACACGUACUACAAUGCUUCGGACAAAGGGCAGCGAACCUGCGAGGGUGAGCUAAUCUCAUAAACCGAGGCACAGUUCAGAUUGCAGGCUGCAACUCGCCUGCAUGAAGGAGGAAUCGCUAGUAAUCGCCGGUCAGCAUACGGCGGUGAAUACGUUCCCGGGCCUUGCACACACUGCCCGUC